rnacentral:sRNA from 1 species
GCUUCCUCCUCUCCGCCACCGCCCUCGCCAUGGCCGCGCCGGCCCCGGGCCUCAUCUCGGUGUUCUCGAGCCCCCAGGAGCUGGGUGCGGCGCUAGCGCAGCUGGUGGCCCAGCGCGCAGCAUGCUGCCUGGCGGGGGCCCGCGCCCGUUUCGCGCUCGGCCUGUCGGGCGGGAGCCUCGUCUCGAUGCUAGCCCGCGAGCUGCCCGCCGCCGUCGCCCCUGCCGGUCUAGCCAGCUUAGCGCGCUGGACGCUGGGCUUCUGCGACGAGCGCCUCGUGCCCUUCGAUCACGCCGAGAGCACGUACGGCCUCUACCGGGUGAGAGCUACGGGGGCCGCCGGGGGUCACGCCGAGAGGGCCACAGCCACCGCCUACACCCCGGCUACGGAGGCCGCCGGGGGCCAUGCCGAGAGGGCCGCGCCCACUGUCUGCACCUUGGCUACAGGGGCCGCUGGGUAUCAUGCCAAGAGGGCCGUGCCCACUGCCCGCACCUCGGCUACGUGGUCCGCUGGAGGUCAUGCCAAGAGGGCCGCGCCCACCGGUUGCACUAGGCUACGGGGGGUCAUGCCGAGAUGGCCUCGCCCACUGCCUGCACCUCGACUACGGGGGCCGCUGGGGGUCUUGCCGACAUGUCUCGCCCGCCGCCUGAACCCCGCCUACAGUGGGUCCCGCAGGACCUCACUGCGCCCUCUGCCUUUAUCUGGGCAGGGCUAGAAAUGGUCUACUUGCAGUCCGUCUUCGUGCUUCAUCCGGUGGCCAGGCAGAGGGAACGGAACGGGCAAGGGCCUGGAAGGGAAUCCGAGUGGCCCAUGUCAAACGAUGCCCAUAACUCAGCCACCUAGCGGACGGGGGCACGAGGAAUCAGGUGUAGAGCCUGAGUCUCAGGGUCCUGAUCUCUAACCCCACCGAGUUCUCGGGGAUCCCUGGGCAGCUUUGCCGCUCUGAUGGCUCUGCUUCCAGGCUAUCUUUGGCUUUGAGCCUCAGGAUUCUAUAGAAUCAGAGGAACGCGCUCUUUUAAAGACGGAAACUGAGGCUUGGAGGAGCCUUGGCCUGGCCGAGGGGAGAGUGGGAGGGGCGGGCUCAAAGGCCAGGAACCUCAAGUCACCUGAGCCUGGCAGCGUUAAGGGACACCCCCUGCUGGGUGUGUCGUCUUCUCUUUGCAUAGAAUCUUGAGCUGAUGAUGGUUUUGUGGGUUUUUUAUUAAGAGAAAAGGCUUACUGAACGCUUUAUAUGCAUCAAUUCAUGAGUCCGUACCACAGCCUAUGAGAUGUUACACUCAUUUCACAGAUGGAGAAACUGAGGCCAGAAGAGGCGAGCUUACCUGCCCAAGGCAUCUAGUGACCAGAGGGGCAGCCUGGGUGUGACCCUGCCUCAUCUGACUUCAUAGUUGGGUACACAUUUAACUUCCGCCUUCCUGUGUGUGUUUUCCAAGAGCAUCGUUAAAAAGUUUUGACCAGGUGCGGUGGCUCACGCCUGUAAUCCCAGCACUUUGGGAGGCCGAGGUGAGUAGAUCACCUGAGGUCAGGAUUUCGAGACCAGCCUGGCCAACAUGGUAAAACCCUGUCUCUACUAAAAAAAAUACAAA